rnacentral:rRNA from 1 species
AAUAUUGCACAAUGGGCGAAAGCCUGAUGCAGCAACGCCGCGUGAGCGAUGAAGGCCUUCGGGUUGUAAAGCUCUGUCUUCGCUGACGAUAAUGACGGUAAGCGAGGAGGAAGCCACGGCUAACUACGUGCCAGCAGCCGCGGUAAUACGUAGGUGGCAAGCGUUGUCCGGAAUUACUGGGCGUAAAGAAUGCGUAGGCGGUCUUUUAAGUGGGAUGUGAAAUCCCUGGGCUCAACCCAGGAACUGCAUUCCAAACUGGAAGACUAGAGUGCGGGAGAGGAAAUUGGUAUUCCCAGUGUAGCGGUGAAAUGCGUAGAGAUUGGGAGGAACACCAGUAGCGAAGGCGAAUUUCUGGAACGUAACUGACGCUGAGGCAUGAAAGCGUGGGGAGCAAACAGG